rnacentral:rRNA from 1 species
AUGGCUGCCGCAGCGGCGAACCUGGCGGGCCGGCCGGGCGUGCGCGUCGUCGUCAUCGGCGACCCCGGCACCGGCAAGUCCAGCCUCGUCGUCGCCGUCGCCACCGAGCAGUUCCCCGAGAACGUCCCCAAGGUCAUGCCCCACACCCGCCUCCCCGCCGACUACUUCCCCGACCGCGUCCCCAUCACCAUCGUCGACACCUCCUCCAGCCCCGAGCAGAAGCCGAAGCUGAUCGCCGAGUGCCAGGCGGCGGACGCGGUGGUGCUCACCUACGCCUGCGACCGGCUCUCCACGCUCGACCGGCUCAGCUCCUAUUGGCUCCCGGAGCUCAGGCGCAUCCAGUUGAAGGCGCCUGUCAUCGUGGUGGGGUGUAAGCUGGACCUGAGGGACGACCAGCAGAACAGCCUUGAGCAGACGAUGGCGCCCAUCAUGCAGUCGUUCCGUGAGAUCGAGACCUGCAUUGAGUGCUCCGCGCUUCGCCAGAUCCAGGUGCCUGAGGUCUUCUACUACGCCCAGAAGGCAGUGCUUCACCCCACAGCUCCUCUAUUUGAUCAAGAGGCGCAAUCUCUAAAGCCACGCUGUGUGAGGGCUUUGAAGCGGAUAUUCAUUCUAUGUGACCACGACAGGGAUGGAGCUCUCAGUGAUGUGGAGCUCAAUGACUUUCAGGUCAGAUGUUUCAGUGCUCCUCUCCAGCCUACUGAAAUUUCAGGCGUGAAGAGAGUUGUUCAAGAGAAGAUGCCUGAAGGCGUAAAUGAUAGCGGCCUUACAUUGACUGGGUUCCUUUUCCUUCAUGCUCUUUUUAUUGAGAAAGGUCGUUUGGAAACUACAUGGACAGUAUUGAGGAAAUUUGGUUAUGAUAAUGAAAUCAAACUUAGAGAUGACUUCAUUCCAACGUCAGUCAAGCGAGCUCCUGAUCAAACGGUGGAAUUGACAAAUGAAGUGAUUGAUUACUUGAAAGGAAUAUUCAACAUGUUUGACAUAGAUAAUGACGAAGCUUUGCUACCUUCUGAGUUGGAUGAUCUUUUUUCAACUGCACCUGAAAACCCAUGGACUUCUGAUCUAUAUAAAGACUGCGCUGAAAGGAAUGUCUUGGGUGGGCUAUCACUUGAAGGAUUUCUUUCUAAGUGGGCUCUUAUGACACUUCUAGAUCCAGCAAAUAGUUUCGCGAACCUUGUAUAUGUCGGCUAUUCAGGUGAUUUUAAUUCAGCAUUCACCAUCACGAGGAAAAGACGAGUGGACCGUAAAAAGCAGCAGACUCAAAGAAAUGUGUUCCAGUGCUAUGUUUUUGGUCCCAAAGGUGCCGGAAAGACUGCAUUGCUACAAUCAUUCCUUGGAAGGCAACCUUCUGAUGCUCUGCCAACUAACAGCGACCGGUUUGCCGCAAAUACUGUUGAACCAUCUGAUGGGACUAGAAAAACACUUGUGCUGCGGGAGAUUCCUGAAGGUGAUGUCAGAUCAUUGCUAAACAACAAGGAAUCCUUGGCACCCUGUGAUGUGGCAGUCUUUGUUUACGAUAGCUGUGAUGAAUUUUCUUGGCAAAGAGCAAGAGAUUUGCUUGUGCAAGUGGCUUCACAUGGAGAAAACACUGGUUAUGAAGUCCCUUGUCUGAUAGUUGCUGCUAAGGACGAUCUUGAUCAAUCUCCAGUGGCUCUACAGGAAUCAACCAGAGUGAGCCAAGACAUGGGAAUUGAAACACCAAUUCCCAUCAGUGUGAAAUUGAAAGACUUGAACAGCAUUUUCUGCCGAAUAGUUCACGCAGCACAGCGGCCCCAUUUGAGCAUCCCAGAGACUGAAGCUGGUAAAUCACGCAGGCAAUACCGUCAACUUCUGAACCGUUCCCUCAUGGUUGUUUCAGUUGGAGCUGCUAUAGGUGUUGUGGGGGUAGCCGCGUACAGGGUUUAUGCGGCUAGGAGGAACUCGUCGUCAUGA